GCGGAUGUGCAUGAGAUCAUG
rnacentral:miRNA from 1 species